CAGUUGGGAGAGGAUCUGGCUGGUGGAGGAAGAUAUCUUCAGAGUAAGACGUCUAGUUCACCAGCUGGUGAAGCACAGGGACACCUUGUGACCCGGCAAUUCCACUUUUUAGAAUGUAUCCAAGAAACACAAGAACAUGUGGGCACACCAAAACUUCCACAAGCGUGCCCUCGGCAGCAUUCUUCUCGGCUGGCAAGAUGACAGGGAACACAAUGGCUCAGGAAGAAGCUGUUCUACCCUUUCUAUUCAAUGGACCGUGGCAGAUCAUGUAUUGAACCCUGGUCAUACAUGGGGAAGGAGAGUCCCACAGUUCCUGCACACGUGGAACUUGGAAGCAGCCUUGUGCUGAUACAAUGUGGCAGUCACCUCACGCUCCUGCACCAGGAUUUCUCCUGCCAUGAUGGACUGUAUCCUCUUACACUGUGACCUGAAAUAGCCCCAACUCUCUCAUAAGCUGCUUUCCUCAGGUAUUUUGUCAUAGUAAUGAGAAAUUUAGUCAACACAUUGGAUUCUAACCGCUCAGCUGGAAUCCAAGGAAGGCCUACAUUAGAAUUCUAGGGUUCACCAUGACCCAAUCCUAGGGAGCCUCAGCUUCAGAUUCCAGGACAUGGUGGGCAGGAUUUAAUUAGCAUAGUCAGGUUAGUGGGCAGUGACUAUCCGGACCUCUAGGCUCCAAUGAGUGCUCCCCCACCCCCCA